GUGGGGAAUAUUGCACAAUGGGGGGAACCCUGAUGCAGCGACGCCGCGUGAGUGAAGAAGUAUUUCGGUAUGUAAAGCUCUAUCAGCAGGAACGAAGAUGACGGUACCUGACUAAGAAGCCCCGGCUAACUACGUGCCAGCAGCCGCGGUAAUACGUAGGGGGCAAGCGUUAUCCGGAUUUACUGGGUGUAAAGGGAGCGUAGACGGCGAGGCAAGUCUGGAGUGAAAGCCCAAGGCUCAACCAUGGGACUGCUCUGGAAACUGUCAGGCUGGAGUGCGGGAGGGGUAAGCGGAAUUCCUAGUGUAGCGGUGAAAUGCGUAGAUAUUAGGAGGAACACCGGCGGCGAAGGCGGCUUACUGGACCGUAACUGACGUUGAGGCUCGAAAGCGUGGGGAGCAAACAGGA
rnacentral:rRNA from 1 species